CCUACGGGGGGCUGCAGUGGGGAAUAUUGCACAAUGGGGGAAACCCUGAUGCAGCAACGCCGCGUGAGUGAUGACGGCCUUCGGGUUGUAAAGCUCUGUCUUCAGGGACGAUAAUGACGGUACCUGAGGAGGAAGCCACGGCUAAUUAGUGGCCGGCAGCGGCGGUAAUCAGUAGGUGGGGGGAGUUGUCCGGAUUUACUGGGCGUAAGGGGGGCGUAGGGGGACUUUUAAGUGAGAUGUGAAAUACUCGGGCUCAACUUGAGUGCUGCAUUUCAAACUGGAAGUCUAGAGUGCAGGAGAGGAGAAUGGAAUUCCUAGUGUAGCGGUGAAAUGCGUAGAGAUUAGGAAGAACACCAGUGGCGAAGGCGAUUCUCUGGACUGUAACUGACGCUGAGGCUCGAAAGCGUGGGGAGCAAACAGGAUUAGAUACCCGAGUAGUC
rnacentral:rRNA from 1 species